ensembl:lncRNA
GGGAGGGAGACGGGAGCUGGGGAAGAGGGGAGAGGGGGAGUAGAGUCUGGAGGAGUGAAGGAGAUGGAGGCAGGGGAUGAGACUCUACUAGACACUACUCCACUGGCUCCACUCCAGAUCACCUGCCUAGAGAAGCAGGUGGUGAUGCUGCAGGCUGAACUGCACUCUCUCUCUGAGGAGAACCAGAGGCAGGCUGAGGAGCUGACAGUGUGGAGGCUAAUGGCCCAGCCCCUCUGUCUAGACCCAGAGGACCUCACCUCUGCUACCCUCAGCCCUGGCCACACCACUGCUACCCUCAGCCCUGGCCACACCACUGCUACCCUCAGCCCUGGCCACACCACUGCUACCCUCAGCCCUGGACACAACACUGCAGCCCUGGCCACAACACUGCUACCCUCAGCCCUGGCCACAACACUGCUACCCUCAGCCCUGGACACAACACUGCUACCCUCAGCCCUGGCCACAACACUGCUACCCUCAGCCCUGGCCACAACACUGCUACCCUCAGCCCUGGCCACAACACUGCUACCCUCAGCCCUGGCCACAACACUGCUACCCUCAGCCCUGGCCACAACACUGCUACCCUCAGCCCUGGACACAACACUGCUACCCUCAGCCCUGGCCACAACACUGCUACCCUCAGCCCUGGCCAACACAGCAGUGUGAUGGUGAUCAGAGAGGAUGAGCUGCUUCUCUCCUGUACCUCCAGUAGACUGUAUGGGAGGACCCUGGCCUCAAGACUGCAUCACUGCAAUUCUCCUGAAGCAAAGAGUCUCCAAAACCCAUCCAGAAAGAACAAAUCUACACAUCCCCAAGAGACGGAAAAACAGACCAAUGAACAUGGGGAAGAUGGUGAAGAAGCAGACAUCACCAAAGAUGUUUACCAAAUCUCAGAGCUCCAGACCAAGGCAACAGAGCACACUAACCAAGAUGAUUCAGAAAACAAGACCAAUCCAAACACUCCCAGAGCAACAGAUCAGCACAAUCUAGACGUCAUAGAACUAGAUAACAAAGAGUUCCCCACUCUGUCUCUCGCUGAGGCUCAAUCCACUGAAGCACAGUUCUCUGAAACCAACCAUUCCAGUCACCAUCAAGAGGUACCAAUCUCCACUGGUGUUGAGAAUAAAAGUCACUCCUCGGUCCGUAGAACAGUCACCACUACAUCAGAGUGGCGAACUGAGAGAACGAUGGUGGAGACCAAGGUUCUGAGUUCAAAGGUCAUACCAGCAGGAUGGACAGGUCAAGAGAGAUUGAGCUCUGUAGAGGUGAGUAGUACCAGCUCUCAGACAGAGGGGAGAGAAACAGGCGCCCUACCAGAAACACACCACGUAUACACACAGACGGAGGAGGAGAAUGAUGAAGAACCCACAGAAUCACCCCCUGUGUCACCAGUCCAGAUGUCUGAGGCCAAGGGGGACAGGAUGUUGUUUUCUGGGUCCUUCCCGAUCCCUGCCGACCCAGCCCGUCUUGCGGAGCGGAUCCGUCGUAACCGGACUCAGAUGUCUGCAGCGUACGAUGAUACGGAAUACGAACCCUACGGCCUGCCUGAGGUGGUCAUGAAAGGUGAGGAGAGGGGACACGGGUGCUGUUUUGUUAAUGCUGUGUAUUUGAAUAUCACAACGAAGGGGGGUUGUUAUUAUUGGCCAGAGGUGAAGCCUAUAUACUAUUAAAAUCAGCUCACCAUUCUUUACCACUGUUGGUUAUCAAAAGAUCUGUGUUUAUAUUUUCAGCCUGUCAAAUCAUCAACCACUCUAACCAAACCAACUCUCCAUCAGACCUUACAGACACCGAAACAGACAACAGAUAUGAGCUUAACCUGUGGGAUGGUAUCAAACUAUGUCUAAUUGAAAUGCAUUCCAGGUGACUACCUCAUGAAGCUGGUUGAGAGAAUGCAAAGGGUGUGCAAAGCUGUCAUCAAGGCAAAGGAUGGCUAGUUUGAAGAAUCUCAAAUCUCCAAUUUUUGGUUACUACAUGAUUACAUUUGUGUUAUUUAAUUGUUUAGAUGUCUUCACUAUUAUUCUACAAUGUAGAAAAUAGUCAAAAUAAAGAAAAACCUUUGAUUGAGUAGGUGUUAACUUUUGACUGGUUCUGUAUGUCUUCCUCCUAGCACCCCUAGUAAACAUACAACCUCCCACUAGCAUUAUAUAAACAGUACUAAAUGUUCACAUUGCUCCUUCUCCCAUCUUCUCCAGGUUUUGCUGACAUUCCCAGUGGUCUAGGCUGUCCGUACAUUGUGAGGAGGGGGCUCCUGGGUACUGCUGCUAUGCCCCGCCCCCAGAGAGAUCCCGGCCAGGGGGAGGGGGGGCAGGAGGACCCUGAUUAACCCCCAACAGGUGAAGCGUUUAGCCCCUUAGAACCCAAUAUCUGCACCGGUCACACAAAUAACAGCUGCAUCAUCACACAGUUUACGUUCAGCACGUAUUUCACAAUUAUCACACGGUUUGUGUAGUCGUAAUGUAAACCACUAUGUGAUCGUGAUAGAUUAUACAAAGUCUGUAGUUGCAUAAUGUUGUCUUUAGAAAGGACGUUUCAUGUGGAGAUGACAUUAACUAGUUCCACAUAUGACUGACUUAAUCGUCUGGUCCUCCUUGGGAGAGUAGGGCGUCCCCCAUGGCAAUCCACCUCUCUCUCUCCUGUGUGGGUUCACAAGUUCCACAUAUGGUUGAGUGUAUUUGUUUAUGCCGUGUGUCAGAGUGUUUGUACAGAUCCACUGGAAGACCGUCAGAGGAGUUAAUUUCACUGGACCUGCUGUGUACUGACCCCCACCUCCUGCCCUGAUGUACUGACCCGAAUAAAACCUGUUUCAUCUCUUGUGUACUGAAACACCUGAAGAGGGACAUCUGUCCCCUGCUGACGUUUAAGACAAGACCUUUCAUUGAGUUAUACAGAGGUCCAUUGGUUUCUAUGCACCUACUACAGUACUGUUCUUUACAAAUCUACUGGUUCAGAUUUCCUUGUUGUGGUUCAAAUGAGAAAUGGUGCCUUGUUUUUAUUUAAUUUGUAUAAGCUACUUUAGGCCAUGGUCCAUUGCCUGUUGUGAAAACUUGAAUUUUCAUUUGAAUAGUCUUAUUUAUAGACUGUUGAAUGUUUUAGUGUGUGUGUUCAUGUUGGUUUUUAUAAGCAGUGGGUGUACAUUUGAGGGAGCGUGUGUCGGUUUGUACAAAACUGUCCACGGAUGAGUACGUACUGCAUGUGUAGGAUGAUGUCUGGUCGUUAUGUUUUCUCAAUAUUAGCCUGUGCCUGUGUAUGACUCAACCUAACCUGAGCGUGUUUCCUCUCCUUGUAUGGUGAUCCACUGGGAGCGCUCCUUCUCUUCCCCUCCCUCGUCCCCUCUUUCUGUUCUUUCCCUAUUCAUUUCUCUCUUUCUUUACACUCAAACCUUUUUCAAAAUGACACCCUCUGUGCUCUUGAAUUUACACAAGUGCUAAACACAUGAGUGAGGUAGUUUAUUUUUAUUUUUUUAGAUACACUAUUUAAAUUGUGCAGGUUUUAGUCUGCUUUUUUGGACUAUUUUAGUUUUUCCUAGAUUUAAUAUAUUACAUUUUUGGGGGGAUAGAUUUUUCGUGCACGUUAGUGAUUGUGCCAUAGUUUUCUAGAUUUUCAGUUGCAUCUAUAAACUGCCCUGGUUUGAAACAAUAUUCACUUAAGAGAUUGUAUAUCAAAUGAAUUUAUAGCAUCUUAAAUGUAAUCUUGGUACUGCCACCAAGAUUGUGCUUUGAGGAAGUGUGUGCGCUUGUAUACAAAACAUUAAGAACUCUUUCCAUGACAGACUGACCAGGUGACUACAGGUGAAAGCUAUGAUCCAUUAUUGAUGUCUCUUGUUAUAUCCACUUCAAUCAGCGUAGACGAAGGGGAGGAGAAGGUUGAAGAAGGAUUUCUGGUAGAGCAUGGCACUUGCAACGCCAGGUUUGUGGGUUCGAUUCCCACGUGGGACCAGUACAAACGAAAUAUGAAAAUGUAUGCACUCACCACUACAUGUCGCUCUGGAUAAAAGCAUCUGCUAAAUGACUCAAAUGUAAACGUGUGUGUGUGUGUGUGUGUGUGUGCCAUUCAGAGGGUGAAUGGGCAAGAUAACAUAUUUAAGUGCCUUUGAACAGGGUAUGGUAAUAGGUGCCAGACUCACCGGUUUGUGUCAAGAACUGCGACACUGCUGGGUUUUUCACACUCAACAGUUUUUCCGUGUGUAUCAAGAAUGGUCCACCACCCAAAGGACAUCCAGACAACUUGACACAACUGUGGGAAGCAACUGCCCCAAUGAAGUGAGGCUGUUCUGAGGUCAAAGGGGAGUGCAACUCAAUAUUAGGAAGGGUUCUUAAUGUUUUGUACACUGUGUUUUGUUAACGAAACCUUCCUCCAUUCCAAAUCUGCUCCGACCUUCUUUCAGAGCUGAGGUUUAUUACAGCGUUACUGCAUGGUACUAAGAUGAAUGUGAGUUGUUAUUGGUUUUGUUGUGGUCUAAAAAAAUCUCUCAAAACACCUAUUUGUUUUUAACACACAACUAAAUAAGUUAACAGCCAUUGGAUCUGAUAGAAAUGACAGGUUUAAUACAUUGUGGAGUGAUUUUAACUUGAUAUACAUAGUUAGCUACACUUGCUUUCUGUCACUACUGACAUGAUGCAUGUAGCCACUAGCAACAACCAUGUCUUCUCUAGAUUCUAGAAGCCUGGCGUGUGUUCUAGAACACGUAUGGGCUGUUACAGUACCAUUCACUAGCCUUCUGAACACACCCCUAGCUGAGUUAUCUGUGGGAUCUCUGGGUGGUGGGACUAGUCCAAGGAGUCCAGCAGAACACACUGGAUUCUUUCCCCUGUAUGUGACACUUUUAUGUGAAUGUAUCACUGUUGAUGCUUUGUGUCGCUGUUGAAGAAGAUAGAUUAAAAAGGUUGAUCUAAAUUUAUCUUGUCAAUUUCUCUUUCCACCUCCUAAGGUCUGUGUGUCAGUUGUUUGUUUCUGUCUUGUCUAUGCUAGCUCUAUUUGGUAGUUGUAUUUCUUUCCAUCUCUCUUUAUUCUCUCUAGGUUAGAGUCACAUUCCAAAUAACGCCCUCUAGUUUAGAGGUCACUAAUGAGGUACCCAGUAAGGCAACUGGCAAGACAUCAGUCCGGUGUACAACUGAAAUAAUUUUUUCCAUUCACGGUUGACUUGAAAGUAGCCUGCUGUC